GAGAGAGAGAGAGAGAGAGGCAAGAUUCGAAUACUAUUACAGGCUCAGCGGCGGCAAGAGGAGAGGAGGAAGAGAAUAAUAUCGAAAAAACUUAUGGCAGAAGGAGGGACUACCUUAGAGUAUACUCCCACAUGGGUUGUGGCGGUGGUUUGCUCUGUUAUCGUUCUUAUUUCUCUUAUUGUUGAAAGAACCCUCCACUACCUUGGCAAGGUCACCCAUCAUCUACACUCUCUCCCUCCCAUAUACAACUAUUUAUGUUAUGUUGUAUGAUCAGUGAUCAAUUUAUUUAAUCGCCAUGAAUUGUUCAUCUUUCUUGCUGCAUAUACAUGGAAGAGAAUUAAUACUCAUGUGCGCUAGUACUGAUCCUCCUGAUAAAUAUAUUCAAUAACGUUUCUAUCCCUGGCUGUCUCCAGUUGUUGAAGAGGAAACACCAGAAACCGCUCUUUGAAGCCUUACAGAAAAUCAAAGAAGGUAAAAUAAUAAUAUUCAUAUGAUUCCUAUAUAUAUAUAUGGUGGGCGCGCGCACGCAGAUUGAUGUGUAGAAUCUUGAUUUUGAUGGUGGUGGUGGUGCAGAGUUGAUGCUUUUGGGGUUCAUAUCACUGCUACUGACAGUGUUCCAGGGAAGAAUUAACACUAUCUGCAUUUCUAAAGAUUUGUCAAAAAAAAUGCUGCCCUGCAAGGACGAAACCAAAGAAACCACUACUGCCCAUUUUCAGACUUUCUUUUCCUUCGUUCCUGGUGGGAUUUCCCGUCGCCUUUUGGCCGAGGCCUCCUCUGCUAAUUCUUGUUCCGAGGUAACCAAUAACUCCUUCUAUAUGUUCUUAUUUUUUUCAUCACUGGUAGUGAGCAUCAAGUAUACAGUUAUCAAAAGUAGUAAUCAUAAGUAAUAUUAAUUUGGGUGGAGUGGUUGGCAAGGCAUCAUGGAUAUGAUUCCGCAUGCACCAACCACGUUUCCUUUUUCUCUUUUCUUCGAAUAAAAAAAGACCUCUAAUUAUAUUAUCGUGUUGUGGGGGACAUGAGACAGACUUGGAUAGCUCUACAAUAAUAUAAUAUAAUCAGGUUGAGAUAUAGAUAAUUACACGUAAAACUGAAAACUUACUUUUGAUUAUCAGUAAUAUAUUAGAGUUCUUGCAGCUCGGGAGACGCUCAGACCUCAACUGAAGUCUGAAGAUGUUCGAUGCUUAAUCUGGAUUAUAAUAUUUGGCUUUACUUUUUCUAGUCAAUGGAAGAAAAGAGAGUUUUCGGGAAGAUGUAAUGACCUGUUUGGCACCCUUGUUUGUAACUAUUGUAACCUCUUUUUCCAUAGAGACUAUAGUUCCUGUUCAUUCAAUUAUGAUUAGCCUUACAAAAUUGGAGUAAUUAGGCCUAGCUACUAUACUUGCUUCUUCUAAAACCUUCAAUUGCUUGUAUCUGUUCGACAGAAUUUCAUUAGCCAUGACAUCUCUGUAGUGAGAAGAAAUAGUUUGUUAGUUUAGUUUCAAAAUCAUGCUCUCACAAAUAUUCAGGAUUACUCAUUGCUCACUGUCCCUUAAUUAAUGGUGUUUGACAGUUGAAACCACAUGCAGUUUUAGAUGCCUUGCUUAAGCAUAUAUAAUAUGAACAUCGCUUGUAGUAUAGACUGUGCUUUGUCCUUUGAAGUAUGGAUUUAAGCAAGCAGCAUUUCUUUUUUGGAUAAAUAAUUAAUAGCUUCAAUAAAAACAAAGUUUGAAACACAUUUGACAGGACUAUGUGAAUUCAUGUGUCUUGUAAGAAAGAAUUUGUGACCUUGGCAUGUGAUCUAAUGGAAAAUUCAUAUUUAUAAGUGCGUGCCUAACAUCUUUCCUUUUUUCAUCACGUUGCAGGGAAAGGUUCCAAUGUUAUCUACAACCGCACUGCAUCAUCUUCAUAUAUUUAUCUUCGUGCUAGCUUGUGUGCAUGUGGUAUUCUGUGUUCUAACCAUUCUUUUUGGAAGCGCUCGGGUAACUUCCACAUAUUCAUUUGCCUUUUUUCCCUCUAACUUUUUGUCUAGAUUUUGCAUUAUUUUCUGAUCCCUCGUAUUGAAUGCUGUUUGUUAAAUGUCUUCGCUGGUGCAGAUAAGGCAGUGGAAACUUUGGGAGGAUUCUAUCUCAAAAAAGGAACAAGAUCCGGAAGAAGGUAAUGCUUGUUAAUAGCUUUAGUUUGCUUGUCCUUUUACAUGCUUGUUCUCCUGAGAAUUUUAUCAUAGUUAUACUGAUUUAAAUUCAGAAUGAACUGAUGUCAUUCCUAUACUUUCUUCAAUAGCCAACUCCUCCUUUUGUUGAUUUUCUUCUUACUUGUGCUAAUAUAUUGCAGCUCAAGGUCCAAAGUUUACUCAUGUUAAAGACCAUGAUUUUAUCAAGUCACGAUAUCUGGGUUUUGGAAAGAAUUCCUACAUCCUGGGUUGGGUGGUAAGUCCUUCCACAAGUUCAGAUACUAAAACUAACAGAAAUUACAAACACUUUGAACUGUUCUACAUUAAUAUUUUGAUAAGAAAAAAUUGCUUUACCUUAAUAUUUUGAAUUGAAAUGUGUCCUGUCUGAGGAUGAGUUUCUGACUCCAAGAAAACACUCCCCUGUGAGUUUUUCACUUCAAAAGUGUCUGAAAAAUAUGAAUUAGAAAAUUUAUCAUAGCAAGAGCUCUUAGCUGCAAAAGUGUGCCCUCUAUGCGUGCAGAAUUAAUGGCAGUCUUGUAGUAAACAUUAGUCAGCUGGGGUUAAUAAAAUUAAAUAAUCAUGUGUUAUGAAUUUAUGAUAUGUGUGGCUUUCUUCAUAUCAGAAGAGUACGUCUCGGAAAUUACUCAUCCUACUUUAUUUUUCAGCAUUCAUUUUUCAAGCAGUUCUAUGCAUCUGUAACAAGAUCCGAUUACACCACGUUGCGACUGGGCUUCAUUAUGGUGAGUUUAGGACUCUAUUCAUGCAAAUUUCUCUGUUUCUUUCCAUUUCUAACAUUUUUUCUACAGACUCAUUGCAGGGGAAACCCGAAGUUUGAUUUUCACAAAUACAUGAUGCGAGUACUCGAAGCUGACUUUAAGAAAGUUGUUGGAAUAAGGUUUGUAAUUUGCACAUUAAUAUAAUCUUAAUUUAUGCAAUGUAAACUAUUUUAUCAUGGAGAAUUACAUUACAUUCAUGCAAUUUGAAACUGCUAGUGUUGCAUGUUCGGCUUUUUCAAAGAGCAUAUCAUCAUUUCAUUAAGUAGUAGUUCUUCUGCGCAAAGUGAAUGCACUAAAUUCUGGUUUCAUGGCAUGCAGUUGGUAUCUUUGGCUAUUUGUGGUUAUCUUCUUGUGUCUGAACGUUUCUGGUAAGCUAGUUAAUUUUGUUUAUCAAUAACUAGAGCAUCAUUUUGCAUCUCUAAUUAUAUUGAAAUCCGUUCUUUUAGUAGCGGAGCACGCCAUUUUUUUUAAUGCAGCACAACAGUACUGUGGAAUUUGGCUGUUAGGAUAAUUGCAAUGAAUUGUGCUAUUUAGUGUGUAUUUGAUAUUUCUUUUAUGGUUGUAGUUGAGGUUUGAAAAGAUGAAGAUUUCAAAAUAUAAUUAUAGCAUUAACAUGCAAAAUUAUGGUGCAUAUUAAUUAACCAAAUAUUUUCAAAUUUAUAAUUGAAGAGUAAAACGCAGGCAGCACCGCGUCACAUAAACAAACAAACGGGCAUUAAAAUUAGAAUGGAGAAAACCAAGUCCCAAAAAGUUUUGAUUUCUAAAACUUAAGAUGUGUUAAUGAUAAGCCAAAUUCUUUUUUUUUUUCUUAUCAAAGAACCAACUUAAUCCAAUAACUUAAACUAUUAGAUGAGAUCCCAGAAUAUAAUUUAUAUUAUUCUCUAACCAGUGGCGAAGCCAGAAAUUUUUAAAUGAGGGUGCAAAUUACUAACAAAUAUUUGAUAUUAUAUAUAUAUAUAUAUAUAUAUAAAUUAAUUUGAAAUACAUGUACCAACUCAAGUCAAGCAAAAUUAAUUUAAGAAUACUUUUAAAAUAAAAAAAAAAUAUAUUAUAAUUAUUUUCUUCGAGAUUUUAUAUUUUAAAACUGCUUCAUAAUAAUUUUAUUUUUAAUUUCAUUAAAAAUAUAUUUCUCAAUAUAUACUACAAACUUUCAUUUAUCUAUUUCUAAAUCUUCCAAAGACUAGGAAAGUUGUUGACAACAAUUCUAUGCUUACAUAUGGUACAUAACAUCUAAAAUCAUAGCUUAAAAAAAUUGUCACAAAUUGAUGUUGUUCUUACUGACUUGUUGUUUUGUACAAGUAGAUUAAAUAUAAUUAUUAAAUGUUUUUUUUUAAUUUAUCUAUUAUAUCCCUAAUUUUUUUAGUUGUCUUGUACUUCAUUUUUAAUCAUUAUUAAAUUCAUUAUCAUCAUUUUUCAUAUGAAAUUCAUAACAAAACUUAUCAAUUCAUCAAAACUCAUUUCAAUUAAUAUCCAUUAGCAUAUAAUAUUACCCAUACACAUAUUAAUUCAACAAACCCAUAAAUUAUUAUAAACCCUAACAUUUUUAAUAACUAAUUUUUGGAGAUGUAGACCUAGUAUUUUUGGAGCUUCCAUAUCUGGUUGACCUAUCAGGAAGAGAUGAAGUGAAAUUCAAAAAAAAAUUUAGUUAAAAAUUAAUUUUUUUUAGUAUGUUUUAGAUUGUUUUGAUGCGCUGAUCUCAAAAAUAAUUUUUUAAAAAUAAAAAAAAUCAUUUAAUGCAUUUCGGUACAAAAAACACUUUGAAAAGCAAUCACACCCACACUCUUAUACAAGUAAAGUCUCUAACAGCACAAGUAUAAAAAAUAUAACAGCUGGGCAAGCCAACUCUUUUCUCAAACCCAUCAGCUGCCUCAUUCUAUAUAUAUAUAUAUAUAUAUAUAUAUAUAUAUAUAUAUAUAUAUAUAUAUAUAUAUAGAAUUCUCUUUAUUAAAAACAAAUAAGAAAAAGGAAUCGGGGGAAAGGGGGGGCAAUUGCCCCCUCUUGCCCCUACGUGGUUCCGCCACUGUCUCUAACACAUCCCCUCAAAUGAAAGCUCUUUGGGCUUGAAACUUGCACAGGCUCACAUUAUCUUGUGCUUAAUUUUUAUCAUAUAAAUAGAGAUGGUGGAAUUCGAACUCGUGACCGCUUAGUCAUCAAAACUCCAAUACCAUAUCAAAGAACCAACUCAACUCAAUAACUUAAGUUAUUAGAUGAAAUCCCAGGAUAUAAUUUAUAUUAUUCUCUAGCAUUUUUUAUUUUUAAAGACCGCCUAUAAGUUUUGCUGAUAAUAAUAUAUAUAUUAAGCCGAUGCCAUAUUCUCUGUUUCCAUUCUUACCUGCUGUAUGAAAUCAUUACGUCACACAGAAGGUUGUGUUAAAUCCAAUAUUUUUGGUAUGCAGGUUGGCAUGCAUAUUUCUGGAUUGCAUUCAUACCCUUCAUUGUAAGCUGCCCAAUCCUAUAUUUUUUGCUUUUAUUAUGCAUGAAAUUGAAGUUGAUAGAGAGUUUAAUUUAAUUUAUUUUUAUUAUGAUGGUGCUCUUUUUGCAGCUUCUGCUAGCCGUGGGUACGAAGUUGGAGCAUGUGAUUAUCCAAUUGGCCCACGAGGUUGCUGAGAAACAUGUAGCAGUUCAAGGGGAUUUGGUUGUUCGACCUUCAGAUGAUCACUUCUGGUUCAACAAGCCUAAAAUUGUUCUCCUUUUGAUUCACAUCAUUUUAUUCCAAAACUCUUUCGAACUGGCAUUUUUCUUCUGGAUAUGGGUAAAGACACAGCACCAGUGCACUGCACUUCCAAACAACAUUCAGCAAAUUACUACAUGAAUAUAUGACAUUUUUCACUGACUAUUACAGGUGCAGUAUGGUUUUGACUCCUGCAUAAUGGGACAAGUUGGUUAUAUUAUUCCAAGACUUGUUAUAGGGUAAAUUCACAUCCAUGUCUAUUGCGUUUUCUACCAUAUAUAUCGAUGCACAAGUCCUAAUUAUAUGCUCUGUUUCAAUGCCAAUUCCAUCUUUUAGGGCAUUCGUUCAGUUCCUCUGCAGUUACAGUACCCUGCCACUCUAUGCCAUUGUGACACAGGUAAGCUAGAUUUUUCUCAACAGAAGCUGUUGUGGUGCCUAUCUGUCUCGAGUAAACAUAAUCCAGGACGUGUGACACAGAAAGUGUAAUUCUAUUUGUUUUUUUUUAUAAUGCAGAUGGGAAGUUCAUUUAAGAGGGAAAUAUUUGAAGAGCAUAUUCAAGAAGGGCUUGUGGGUUGGGCUAAGCAAGCAAAGAAGAAGGCAGGGUUGAGAAGGACUGCCAAUGAGUCUAGCCAUAAUCAAGUAGGUCCCAAAGAGGAGUCUCCUCUGAUUCAGAUGGCAAAGGCUGGAUCUAGGGAAACUGCAGUGGAAGAGAACAAAUCAGGAGAGAUUGUACAUGGAACUGCCUCCUAAGGAACUACCAUGGGAGUCACUCAAGAAUCAAUGUGCUUGCCAGCUCUCUACUAUAUAGGAGUACAUACGUUGAUAGAGUUGAUGCAUACAGCUUGAGUGACGUGAGGAAAUUUUAAGAUUUUAAAAUUGAAAUUUUAAUAAGAGAUGAAGAUGUAGUUUAAGAAAUCAAUCAUAACUUCUUUUAAUCUGAUUGUAUUAAAUUGGAAUUUUAAUAAAAAAUUCUAAAGAUUUUAUUUUAGAUAAUGAUUUGAAAUUUUAAGAUCGGAAAGUCAUUUAAAUAAAGUUUAAAAAUUAUUGUUCGAGAUUGUUUUUAUUUUUCUUGUUGUAUUUAGAUUUUUUUUAUUUAAAUUAAAACUUUAAGUUAAUAAGUAUUUUAUUAUUUAAAAAUCAUAAUACUAGAUGAAUUCUAUUAAUUAGAUAAGUUUUAAUUAUGAAUAUUUUUUAUAAAUAAUUUUAGUUUUAAGUUUUAACUAAGAAUCCAGGUUUUAAAGCUAAUAUAAAUAGAAGUUUUUAGUUUAUUUUUUAAAAAAGAAGUUAUUAUUAAGACUUAAUAAAACACUAGGUUUUUCUAAAAGUUUCUCUACUGGUUGUAAUAGAUUUCGUACCUGGAGCUUGGUUUUACCAACCAAAAUAUACAAUCAAGUUCCAAAUGAAUUGACGCUGAAGCAUAUUUAACAUGUAUUUGUUUUUUCACACAUGGAAGUUUCAAGACACAGAGAUGCUGAAGCAUCUCUUCUCUUACCUUGGCUUGGCUUGGCUUCCACAGCCCAGUCUCAGGUCCAUCAUAAUGAAAAGACAAAACAAGCAAGUACGACAUAAUUUUUUAUUAUUAUUAUUAUUAAUGUAGUUGUCCGGAUUAGCUUAUGUGUACAUGUCCUAAAAUUAAAAAUACUUAAAAUCACAGGAAAAACAAAUUUAUUAAUUUUAAAUUUUUAUUACUUGACCAUCUAUUAUAUAAUUAAAAAAACAUAACAUCUUAAUAUUACAUGAGCUAGACAAAAGCAUUAAUGAUCCAAAAGAUCAAGUUCAGUUGGGACUUUACAUUAGAGAACAUGGUCUGUUGCAACUGCUUCCUCUUCUCAUAAGGACACUUCUUCUCCCACCAUCAAUUCCACUACAAGAUAAAUUCAAAAAAAAACCUAUAAUAUCCAACACCCAAGGUACUGAAGAAGGGCUAAAAAUCACGAUUACACUCUCAGCUCUCUCUCUACUUCUCAUAUACGCUGCUCCAUUAUGAUUCCGCUCAGGGCUUCCCCUUCAUUUAUACCCACGUGGCUCCGCCACUGCUUGGACUUUGCAGCUCUAAAAACUCUUUCUGCCAAGCCCAAGUAGCCUCAUUGCCAAAACAAUAUCAUCCUCUAUAUCAACCUCGUAAAUAUCAGAUUCUUUGUCAAUCCGUAUUUAAAUAUCAAAUGCCUGUAAGAUUUUAGAGAAGCACAUGCUUGACUGCUGUAAACUAUAAUCUAUACUUGAAGAUGACAAUACAAAUUUGGAAUCCGCAGGGUCUAUCACAACAGCAUGUCAAGAGCAAUGCAAAAAUCCGGCUAAUUAAGAAUUCUUUUCCACGAUAUAUCCUGUUUUUACACUUACACUAGAAUUAGUCUCCGUGUCUCCACCAUGUAGGAACUUAGCAAAACUGAGAGCCCAGAUUUCAAUUUUGAUAAUAUAUAUAUGGAAUCAUCAUUUAAAGCAAUCAUUUCAUUUUUAAUUGUUAAAAUCAAAUUAAAAAAAAACAAAUUAAAAUUCACUCCCAAAAACCCUUUUAGUUUCCAAACUCUGAGCCUUAAAUAUAGUUUUUAAAAAACAUAAAUAAGUAAACCGUAAACCCGAUGCAACAACACAUAAAACUUAAAAAGGAUACGAAAUUCAUUAGUCAGGUUCCAUCCAUUAGACCAGGUCUGUCUAAUGUAAUCACUGAUAAACUAUUGAAGUAUUCCAAGUUGUCUCAUCUGUCUUAGGAUCGUUUCUAGUUACGUUGAAUAAUUCCUCCUGUACUUGAGGAACAAGUUUCUAUCUUUCUGUUAUAAUCAGUUAACCACGAUAUUACAUGCAAAAAUAUCGUGAGUUUGUUAUUUCCUUUUAUCUCAGUAUAAGGCUAUUUAUUAGCCAUUGGCAGCAGCUUAAUAAAGUGUAUUUUUCAUCUAUCCCUUUUGAUUUCUAACAAUCACAACUCUCAUUUUAAAAUGAAUGGAAUCUUGGUAGAUACCACAAAUCUACGUGUUAAAUUCAUUGAAAAAACAAUAAAAAAUGAACCUGUCUAUACGUACCUUCUUGGUAAGAGUUGAUUGGGUUAUUACCUCAGAUGAUCAAAUUAGUUUUUAUGAUCAGGGUUUUAGGGUUUAGAAUUGACUUUUUCCUCGAUGUUUAUCAGAAGAAAAAUGAUAUAGUGGAGAUAGAGAUGAUCCAGAAGGCAUGCAGCUGGUUGGGUUCUGACACAGUCAAGCAAUAAUAAAAACCGAUGAAAAUGAUGAGGGCAGCAAAUGAUGGAUUGAUCAUUAGUUGGGAACUCAGCAUGUGAAAGAGAGAUACCUCCAUGGAUAUUACUGGACCACACAACAGUGUUCUGAUAAGUCAUCGGGCCGGGGAGCAAGCAUCCAUCAAUAUACACGUGUACGUACGUGUGAUGAAUUAAUCAACUAAAAAUAUAUGAACUGAUCAGAGCACUUUCGAUAUCUGGACCUUCCCUCCCUCCCUAAAUUAUUUCGAGUUGCUGCGUUCUCUCCCAUCCAUCAACGUGAAAUUAAAAGCAGCUAGCAUGACAAGUACUGUAAUAUAUAUCUAAAUUGUUUUAAACAUUUUAUUUUUUUAUAUAAAAAGAAAAUGUUUAAACUUCGAUCAUGAUCAUGGUAUAGAUACAAUUAAUGAAGUUUACCUAUGAUACUAUGAAAUAUAUACUAUUUCUUGUCAAAUAUUGUGUGAUGCUGCAGGGUAUAUUCCUAGAUUCAUUAUUUUUAAAAUGAUCUGUCACGACCUCAUUCCCGGAUCCAUGACCUGCACAUAGGCAAGGUUCCUCUUCAAGGUUCCAUACCUAUGCGAACCCAAACUUACAUACAAACUUAUCCUAACUCAAUCAGAGUUCAACGCAGCAUUAAUAACAAACUAAACCUCAUAAUAUAAUUUGAUUGUCUUAAUACAAGAGUAAAUACAAAUUUCAUAGUUAUGGAGCACUAACUGAACAUGAAAGGAAAAUACUAAUUUCAACCAAAAAGCAGGUUCAGAAAGUUUAACAAAAAUAAUCCGCUAACAAGCUAUAAGCCUGAAAAGAUAAAUAAUGAGAGAGUGAGUUCAACAACUCAAUUAGUAAAUAAUGUUCAAUAUACACACACGAGGUAAUACAACAAUGAGAAUAUAUAUACAAUUAUGGCUCUAUGUUCUUAUAGGAAGAUUUCUCAAAUAGGCUAUAACAAGAAUAUCAUAUGGUAAAACUCGUCAGAAAAUCAAAAUACAAUGAGCAUGAGGCUUCGUACUGUGGGAUGAUCAAUCCACACAGGUUGGUGACUCCCCCGACCAACUAGGGUUCAAAUACGAUGUGUACAAAGACUAACACUACCCUGUUAGCAUGGGUAUUCUGACUGCAUACCAUAGGUUCAUAAUCAUAAUCAAACAGACAUAUUCAUAUCUCAAGGCUCAACUCAUGACAUUAAUCAAAUGAGGAGUUAUCAAUUCAGAAGUCAAUUCAAAAUAUAUAUACUGGUUCAUAUCAAUAAUUUGGAUUCAACAAUUGAUCAUGCUUUAUCAUAACAAAGAUAAUAAUCAACAUGUAUAUUAUCAAGAAGUAUGAUCCAAUUCACAUUAACAAAUCAAAUAUGUAUAAUAUUUCUCAUGCAUAUGGAAAAUUAUCCACUCACCUGACUCAAAAGCAAACAGAAGUCAAAAGCAGAUACCGAAGAAAAUCCUACUGACGUCCCACCGGUAGAAUAUCAGGAUUAUCUGAAUACAAAGGAGACAUAUUCAAGAACAACUCGAAAGAACAUAUAACCUAUUUAAUAUACCUAACUAAGAGUGUAUACCAUAACCCUAUAUGUUUUUAAACUAAAUUAGUUAUUUUUCCAUAUGCAUGAGAAAUAUGUUUUUCAAGAAAUCUAAUCCAUAAUAAAAUUGGUAAUAAUUCACUAAAUAACCCUCAAUUAUUCAUCAAACCAAACUGCAAAAGCUAAUAUUACAGCUAGGGACAAAUUUGAAAUUUAUCAUAUUUUUUAAGGGUCAAAUUGUAACUUUUGUCAAAUUGAAGGGCCAAACUAAAAAUAUUAUAAAUCCAUGACUAUACUGAAAUUAUGACCAUAAUUAAUCCUCAUUUCUGUUCAGAAUAUCUCAUUAUGCUCCAGGGACCAUCCUGGAAUUUUUUUCCAAAUUUUUAGGGUCAAAUUGUAAUUUUUUUCAAAUUGAAGGACCAAAUUGAAAGUGUUAAAAUUUCAUAACUAUACAGGAAUUCUGCCCAUAAUUCAUCUUUUAUUCUGUUCAGAAUCUCGGAAUAUACUCGAGGGACCAAUCUGUAAUUUUCCAAAGUUUGGAGACUAAACUGUAAUUUUCACAAAUUGAGGGACCAAACCGAAAUUUUGUCAUCUUCAACCUCCAACCCAGAAUUUCAACAGAAAACCUACUGUUCUUUCCAUAUUUCUAACUCAAAAUUCACCAUUUACAUAAAUCAUAACUCAAAAUUAUCAUCUUUACCUACAAUCUUCCAUAAUCAACUAAAUAAUCAAUUACCCACAACAAUCAACCCUAUAACAUUCAAAUUAAUUCAUCAAUUAAACCCAAAAUAAAAUCUUCAAAACCCUAACAUUCAUUAAAACCGAAAUUUAAAGUUCAAGAAAACGUAUUAUACACAUUUAUACAUUUAAAAACCUAAAUCUUACCUUUAAACUUAUUUUCUUCAACUCCUUUCUAUUUCUCUUUCCCUCUUUUCUCUUCUUCUUCUUCUUUCUCACUUCACUCUCACGGUUUGCUCUCUAAGAACACAGCUCUCUCUCUCUCUCUCUUUUUUACUUCCUAUUUAUAUUUAUCAUCUCUUUAUCCAAUUACUACAAUACCUCUCAUUUAAUUAUACUUUUUCUUUAAGCCUCCAAGGGCUUUGUUAUCUUUUUCUAUUUCUUUUAAAACAAAACAUCACAUGAUUAGUACUUAUUGAUCAUCGAUCAUGAAUAUAGAGAUUUGCUCAUUCAAACAUUGCUUUUUUGUAUGUACAUAGAUGUCAGAAAAGAUAAGUAGUGAGAGUCAUAGUUUUAUUUUUUAAAUUAUUUUUUAAUUGAAAAUAUAUUAAAAUAAUAUAUUUUUUAUUUUUUAAAAUUUAUCUUUUAUAUGAAUUUAUUUAAGAAUAAUAUUUCCAACACGUUCAAAAGCUGCCCUUGUGUGUGUGGACGCGCAAAUAAGAAAGAAUAACAUGCACGUAUAGAAUAAGUCCAAUGCUCCUAGUCCUAGCUACUCCAUGGAAAGCAUGUGUGUGUGCACACUGUAAAGCCCACGACGACUCCACAAGAGAAUAUUAAUCUCCAUGUGAGCUUUGUUUUCGAACUUUACGUGUAAGUUAACCCGAGCUUAAAGCCUUGUCUCGAUAAAAAUAGAGGGAGGGAGGGAGGGAGGGAGAAUUGGCCCUACAUGACUCACGUGACUCGUAAAAAACCCAUUACCUAGUUAACUCGGGAAAAUAGAAUUCAUGUAAAAGUCAACCAGUAUUUGAUGGCUGUCUACAUCACGCGAAUCCAGUCCGUGUAAUAAAACGCGGUGUUUUCUGUUUUUUAAAUGGGUAAUAACACGGUUUCCAACUCAUUGUUAGUCCUAAAGUUAGGUAGGUCGUCAAGACUUCAUUGACGUGUCUAUUGGUAUUGCAAUUUUUUUUUAUUUAAAAAUAUUUUUUUAUUAUUAUAUUAAAAAACACUAAAAAUUACAUUAAUUUAAUAUCCACCACACUUUUAAAAAAACUAAAAUCAGCUCCCAAACAGGGUAUUAAAAUUUUAAAAAAAAAAUCAUUUGUUGUGGCGGUGGUUUGCUCUGUUAUCGUUCUUGUUACAGGCUCAGCGGCAGCAAGAGGAGGCAGAGAAUAAUAUCGAAAAAACUUAUGGCAGAAGGAGGGACUACCUUAGAGUAUACCCCCACAUGGGUUGUGGCUGUGGUUUGCUCUGUUAUCGUUCUUAUUUCUCUUAUUGUUGAAAGAACCCUCCACUACCUUGGCAAGGUCACCCAUCAUCAACACUCUCUCCCUCCCAUAUACAACUAUAUAUGUUAUGUUGCAUGAUCAGUGAUCAAUUCAUUUAAUCGCCAUGAAUUGUUCAUCUUUCUUGCUGCAUAUACAUGGAAGAGAAUUAAUACUCAUGUGCGCUAGUACUGAUCAUCGUCCUGAUAAAUAUAUUCAAUAACG
rnacentral:lncRNA from 1 species